AGGAUUAUAGUUUAAAAUAAAACAUUUGAUUUGCACUCAAAAAAUAUUGUAAAUCAAUUUAUCUUA
rnacentral:tRNA from 1 species